AACGAACGCUGGCGGCAUGCCUAACACAUGCAAGUCGAACGCCCCGCAAGGGGAGUGGCGAACGGGUGAGUAACGCGUGGGAACCUACCCAGCGGUUGGGGAUAACCGCGGGAAACUGCGGCUAAUACCGAAUACGUCCUAAGGGAGAAAGAUUUAUCGCUGUUGGAGGGGCCCGCGUCGGAUUAGCUAGUUGGUGAGGUAACGGCUCACCAAGGCGACGAUCCGUAGCUGGUCUGAGAGGAUGAUCAGCCACACUGGGACUUAGACACGGCCCAGACUCCUACGGGAGGCAGCAGUGGGGAAUAUUGGACAAUGGGGGCAACCCUGAUCCAGCAAUGCCGCGUGAGUGAUGAGGGCCUUAGGGUUGUAAAGCUCUUUUACCGGGGACGAUGAAGACGGUACCCGGAGAAUAAGCCCCGGCUAACUUCGUGCCAGCCGCCGCGGUAA
rnacentral:rRNA from 1 species